UGGGGAAUCUUGCGCAAUGGGCGAAAGCCUGACGCAGCCAUGCCGCGUGAAUGAUGAAGGUCUUAGGAUUGUAAAAUUCUUUCACCGGGGACGAUAAUGACGGUACCCGGAGAAGAAGCCCCGGCUAACUUCGUGCCAGCAGCCGCGGUAAUACGAAGGGGGCUAGCGUUGCUCGGAAUUACUGGGCGUAAAGGGAGCGUAGGCGGACAUUUAAGUCAGGGGUGAAAUCCCGGGGCUCAACCUCGGAAUUGCCUUUGAUACUGGGUGUCUUGAGUAUGAGGGAGGUGUGUGGAACUCCGAGUGUAGAGGUGAAAUUCGUAGAUAUUCGGAAGAACACCAGUGGCGAAGGCGACACACUGGCUCAUUACUGACGCUGAGGCUCGAAAGCGUGGGGAGCAAACAGG
rnacentral:rRNA from 1 species